rnacentral:ncRNA from 18 species
UCAGCACGACAUCGAUGGCGACACCAGUAAUUCUGGUGUGUGGAGAUAGGCUGACGAAAGUCAGGCCAGCAUAAGCUGCGAAUGGGUAACACCCAUGGUAUCUCGUAUGAGUUCAACAUUUCGCCCACCCGAUGCACAGAUGUCUGCUG